rnacentral:rRNA from 1 species
GACUGCGAUCAUACCAGCACUAACGCACCGGAUCCCAUCAGAACUCCGAAGCUAAGCGUGCUUGGGUGAGAGUAAUACUAGGAUGGGUGACCCCUUGGGACGUCCUCGUGUUGCAUCCC